CAGCAGCCACGGGAAUACAGAGGGUGCGAGCGUUAAUCGGAUUUACUGGGCGUAAAGCGUGCGUAGGAGGCUUCUUAAGUCGGAUGUGAAAUCCCUGAGCUUAACUUAGGAAUUGCAUUCGAUACUGGGAAGCUAGAGUAUGGGAGAGGAUGGUAGAAUUCCAGGUGUAGCGGUGAAAUGCGUAGAGAUCUGGAGGAAUACCGAUGGCGAAGGCAGCCAUCUGGCCUAAUACUGACGCUGAGGUACGAAAGCAUGGGGAGCAAACAGGAUUAGAUACCCCUGUAGUCCCUGUCUCUUAUAC
rnacentral:rRNA from 1 species